rnacentral:rRNA from 1 species
CGGCCGCGUCGACAUGGCGUGCCUUUUGUUAGAAUGAACCGGCGAGUUACGAUAACUAGCGAGGUUAAGGGUAAGGCCCGGAGCCGAAGCGAAAGCGAGUCUGAAAAGGGCGUAUAGUUAGUUGUUGUAGACCCGAAACCCACGUAGAGCUAGCCAUGAGCAGGAUGAAGCUGUAGUAAGAUAUAGUGGAGGUCCGAACUAUAGUCUGUUGAAAAGACUUGGAUGACUUGUGGCUAGAGGUGAAAUUCCAAUCGAACCGGAGAUAGCUGGUUCUCCCGAAACUAGCUUUAGGGCUUAGCGUCAAUCAAGACUUUUAUGGGGUUAGAGGCACUGAAUAGUAGAUGGUCCCAUCCCGGGUUACCGAGUUCAGCAAACUCC